GGAUGCCCUCCGUCGUCACCCCUUAUAACCUGUUACCCGCGUUCGGACUAGGUCGUUACGGCGCACUCACUACUUCCGGAAUCCCAACAUUUCGAGAAAGCGUGCGCUGCUACUACU
rnacentral:rRNA from 1 species